CUUGGUCAUUUAGAGGAAGUAAAAGUCGUAACAAGGUUUCCGUAGGUGAACCUGCGGAAGGAUCAUUACUGAAUUGUAAACAAGGGUUGUUGCUGGUCCUCAAAUGGGGACAUGUGCACGCUCUGUUCACACAUCCAAUCACACCUGUGCACCCUCUGCGGUUCUGUGGUCAAGGGGGGCUUUGCCUUCCUGUGCCGUGGUUCUGCUUCUUUACACACACACACUGUAACAAAGUCUUGUGGAAUGUAUGCCGCGUUUAACGCAAUACAAUACAACUUUCAGCAACGGAUCUCUUGGCUCUCGCAUCGAUGAAGAACGCAGCGAAAUGCGAUAAGUAAUGUGAAUUGCAGAAUUCAGUGAAUCAUCGAAUCUUUGAACGCAUCUUGCGCUCCUUGGUAUUCCGAGGAGCAUGCCUGUUUGAGGGUCAUUAAUAUCUCAACCACAUCUGUGUGUGUGGCUUGGACUUGGGGGGACAGUGCAGGGACUUGUGUGGUCCUGCUCCCCUGAAAUGCAUGAGCGGUUUUGUGUGACCCCUGCUCUAGGUGUGAUAACAUAUCUGCAUCUGACCAGGGCUCCGAGCUGCCAUAGGAGAAAAGGCCCCUUUGCUCUUUGACCUCAAAUCAGGUAGGACCACCCGCUGAACUUAAGCAUAUCAAUAAGCGGAGGA
rnacentral:rRNA from 1 species